rnacentral:rRNA from 1 species
GACGAACGCUGGCGGCGUGCUUAACACAUGCAAGUCGAACGGUGAACCGGGCUUCGGCCCGGGGAUCAGUGGCGAACGGGUGCGUAACACGUGGGCAACCUGCCUCAGACACUGGGAUAACCCCGGGAAACCGGGGCUAAUACCGGAUACUCCGACCGGACUGCAUGAUCCGGCCGGGAAAGCUCCGACGGUCUGAGAUGGGCCCGCGGCCUAUCAGCUUGUUGGUGGGGUAACGGCCUACCAAGGCGACGACGGGAGCCGGCCUGAGAGGGCGACCGGCCACACUGGGACUGAGACACGGCCCAGACUCCUACGGGAGGCAGCAGUGGGAAUAUUGCGCAAUGGGCGAAAGCCUGACGCAGCGACGCCGCGUGAGGGACGAAGGCC